rnacentral:piRNA from 1 species
UUGGAGACACUGAACUCAAGGCCUCUCCCU